rnacentral:lncRNA from 1 species
GCGCUAACCCUAACCCUCACCGCCUGGCGCCUCACGAACACAGCCGCCUGCCGUUGUGCCCAGGCACUUAGCCUUCCACUGCCCGCCGAGCCGUCGAGGCGAGACCGAGCCUACUGCCGCUGGCCGCUGUGCCUAGCCUUCCGCCGUCCGCCGAGCUGUCGAGGGGAGACCGAGCCUUCCGUCGCUGCCCUCUGUGCCCAACCUUCCGCCCUUCCGACCAUGCGCUGACGCCGUCCGCGGUCCGUCGUUGUGCCGAGCCGCCGAUGUGCCCACUGCCUAGUGGCCCCAGCCGUCCGGCCUUCUGUGCUGAGCCCGCGAGCCGUCGUUCGUUGCUCGUCUGUUGUACCCAGGCGGCCAGGCGCCCAGCCCUCCAGCCACGCGCCCAUGCGGGCCACGCCACGCCUGUGCCUUCCGCGGUCCGCCGCUGUGCGCAUGUGCCUUCCGAGCUGUAACAGUAAGCAAAGCAAACAACUGCUUGUCUGUUGAAUAAUUUGAUUGUUUGAAUGUUGAUGUUUGUCACAAACAUGCAGAGUUGAUAUAUUUGGAGGAUUGUUCAAAGGGCUUCAUCUUCAAAAUAUUAAGAAGACAUUUCAAAAGAAGAAGGAUAGGCAAAUACAACUGCCUAGAACUCCGAGACAUAUAUAGCAAAUUCUGAGGUAUGACAGUUACAUAUUUUGUAGCAAUUUAUUCUUAUUUUAGACAAUGUUCUAUUUCUUUAUAUAUACCGUGAGUUGUUCUACAAGUUGAUUGGUUGUGUGCUAAAUAUUAUACGGUCCAGUUGUGUAGAGCCAUACCUAAAUUUGUUUCCGUCCUCUGCCACUGUAUGCACUCCUAGCCCUCGCUCUCUGCUCAGGCAGGGAGCCGGUGCUGCCACGUGGCCUUUGACGCAUCGUGAAAGGCACUAGGCAUAGCCUGACACGAGUCUCUGGCGUGGAGCACCCACAUUUAAUACUGGCAGGAGGCACGCCUGUUUGCACAAGUCCACAAGUCACUGACGGCGUGCGCCCCGUAUUAAAUGUAAGCGGCUAGUGCUGUUCGCAAGGCCUGGGCCGCACCUAGGGAUGAAAAUUGUUUUCAAAAAUUCUAUAACUAGGACUUCAUAAUCGUAUCGUUUUCGUAAAGACAAUAUCAUUACCGUAAAGUGACAGACACGUUACCGAGGCAAAGACCAUUGACUCUGUGUCGCGUAUGGGUGGUUCUCAUCAUAACCUCUACUAUUUCCACUACAGAGACAGGUGAUGGAGACAGGCGGAGGGGACCGGACGUUAAGCUCUGGGGACGAGCACUCUCGAGUCCACCUAAGUUAAUCUACACCCACAGCAAUACAACUCACACUGGAGUACGGGCGGUAAUCUAAACCUCUGUGUGUUCUUGUGUUCAUCGAACUUAUCAGAUAAAUCGUAGGCUGCUCUCUGGUCUUAGGAUUAGACAGGUGCAUCCCACCAACCCGCUGUAGUUUACUCGCACAACUAACACAUAGUACUCCUACAUUAGACAUCAAUAUCCCAUCGUGCCGAUCGGUCCAUUGUCCAGUAGUCUUCCUUCCUCCUUCCCUCCCUCACACACGCGCCACAAUCACAGGAAAGAGAUUGAUCGAGGACGCGUACAAUACAGUAGGUUACAUGCACAUUCACAAAAUUCAAGUAGCAGCAGCCCACAUGUCUCUAUCUCGCCCGGGAACCUCGGCCACGUCCAUCCCGUCCCUGCAUGUAUGUGUUUCACGAUCAGCCUUGGGGAAUUGACGAACUGUCUUCAUUAGUCUCUGAGCACAUGUAACAUAUAUAUGCAUGUUUUGGUUUAUAUAUUACUUGUGCAUUGUGACAAUAAUGUACGUGGUCCUAAGAGACCUGGAUGCUCUGUCUCUUCAUGUGAGCAUGCCCCCCAUCCACAUGUGUUUCACGCGUCGUGUUUUACGAUAUGAUGAUGAGCCCCAAAGCCCUUAGGUGCGUUUGGUUGCGAGACAUUCAGAAUAAGCCACUAGCGUCCUCUCUCGUCUCUCUAAUUUUAAGGGAUAACUAAGAUAACACUGGGAUAGUCAUAUUCCAACCCUUGACCCUGAACCAAACAAUCUUAAAUAUUCCAUCCCCGUCUCGUCCUGUCAUUAAUGUAAUCAAAUGCAUCUUUAUAGUGUGUUUGGUUUGUGGAGUCACUCCAUGCUUCAUGAGGUGAUGCAUCAUAAGUUCAUUCCAUCAAUUUUGGUAGAAUCAAACAACUCUUCAUUUAUAUACUAAUUAUUAGCUUAUGAGGAAUGAUGUGGUGAUGGAUCAACUCAUUAUAUUCCACAAACCAAAUAAAAAAGUGAGGAGUGAGAAGAAGAUGGAUCACUUCGUUCCUCAAACCAAACACACUAUUAAUGAAUUAGUUAUUAUGGGAUAGGUACAUGGGUCUAUGCUAAUUGCUAAGUUGUGAGAUGGUAGGCCGACCGUAGGAUAUCCACAUGCAUGACCACACAUCAUUCCCGGCCCCUAUAUAUAUAUCGCACAUGGAUGCAACAGUUGUGCACAUGCACAAUACUACCCUUAUGCUUCUCUGUAAUAUUUUUUUUGACACCACAUCAUCCACUAAAAGAUCGAUUCAAGCAUAUGCUUGUUAUUUGAUUUAUAUACUUGAUUAGCUUAUGGCUCUAUCUCAACUAUAUUUAAGUGUGAGUUUAUUCGUGUGUUUCACCUUCCCACGCUCACGCGCGCCGGUCAGCAAACAAAAAAAUGAAAAAUAGGACGUCAGAUCAAAUCCCUACCCCUUAGAAAGUUUAGGAGGCGCGAACCAAACAGCCUCUUAGUCAUCUAGUCACCAGCUCGUUUAAAGGAUUUUGAGUCAGACUCUUUUCAUUUUGAGUCACGAGCUGCGGUCCAACAACGCGUGAGGCUUGAGCAGAGACAAGUAUGGCGCCUAUGCAUGGACCAGCUGGGCUUAUCGUGAAACACAUGAUGCAUGAAACAUGAGGACGAUGGGGUCAUGGGGACAUGCAUGCAUGUCGUUACGUUCCUGCCAACCAACCACUGCAUAAUGAACACGAUUGAUCCAAUUAAGAUAUGUAAGGAGUGUUUGGUUUGAUGGAUCAACUUAUUUUACUCCACAACUUAUUCCAUUCUACAGACUAAAAAAAUGAUGAGUGAUAAGAUGAUAAACUAGCUUAUUACUCAAACCAAACACCUAGUAGUGUUUGGUCAUGAAAUCACUCGACCCGUGAGUUUCGUGAGGUUGCACAUCAUCAGUUUAUCACCAUCCCAUGAAUUUUGGUAGAAACAAUGAUACAUUCUUCAUGCAUAUAGUAAUAUUAGCUUGUGAUAAAGCAUUUGGUGAUAAAUCAAUCUAUUCUAUUUUACGAACCAAACAAAAAAAGGUGCGAGAAGAAAAUGAAUCACCUCGUUUAUCAAUACAAACACACCCUAGAUAAGGCUUGGCUUGUUGCAUGGUUUUGAUUUACAGAUGAAAUUACAUUUAAGCAAAAUAUUGUUUUAAUGUCAACACAUCCCAAUAAAAAGCUCGAUGGCAAUAUUAUUUUAAAAAAUACUGAUAAGAAGACAUACAUGAUACGACUCUUGUGUCAAAGGACCUAGUUACCCUCCCAUAGUAGUCUAGAUCUGUUGUACAUGACAGAGGAUGAUUUUAUUUUAGUAUGAAAAUGUAUAUUGGUGGCACACUAUAAAUAGGUAUAUAGUACCACUACUACAGGGUUGAGCACUCGUGCACCUAGAGUCUAUCGCUUUCGGAUAGCAGAGCAUUCAAAGGUCGCUUCAUAGAACAUCCUUCGUGGGUCUUGUGUGGAGUCUCCAAAUGUACUAUGGUUUGUAAGCUCAAUAAUGUACUCUUUUGACCCUAACAUCUCAAAGUUGCGAGUGAAAGGCAAGAAGAUAAAUUAUGUGUUUCAUUUACAAUGAUUCAUCACGUAGAAGUUAAAUUGUCCAUCAAUAUCUAUUGGUUUCACUUCAUCCCCCUUUCACCUUCGAGCCCUUUGAAGGUAGUAGGGAGGAUGAACCUUGUCUUAAUAGUGUUGCCCUGUUAUGGUUUCUUGUAGGGACUUUGACACGUACCCAACAUUUGGCACCCACCACCGGUGAACCCACUUACCACCACUAUUAUGCCUCCACAAAGGCGUGGGAUUAAUGUUGUUGGCUCUACUAUAUGGAUCUCGAAGGCCGAGGAAUAACACACAAAAGCUACUCAUCGGCCUGAAGUCACGCGCCGAAGACAUGAGAAAAGAAAAACUCUAAAACAACCACCUCAAUAAGACAAUGUUGAUGAAGAAAUCGAGUGUCUCCAUGACAUUAAGAGAUGUCAAAAUCCAAAAGCAAAAGAUGCUUCACGUCGCCCACCUUCAUUGGCAGACACUACAGGAAACGCCUAAAUUUUCGUGGGCCGAGAUAUUUUCGUCGGCCGGCCCACGAAAAUACUGACAUUAUUUUCGUCGGUCCCUAGGCCGACGAAAAUAAUGCGUAUUUUCGUGGGCCCAUCGACCUGCCGACGAAAAUACAAAAACGUAUUUUCGUCGGUCACUAGGCCGACGAAAAUAACGCUUAUUUUCGUGGGCCAUGGCCAAACCGACGAAAAUACAUCAUUAACCGUACUCUAUUUUCGUCGGCCUAGUGAGGCCGACGAAAAUAGAGGCCCAACAUCGUCGUCCUCGGCCCCGCUCGUUUCAAUCGCGCGUCACUCGUUUCACCCAACGCCGCCGCCCCACGCUCGCCCUCCCCUCGCCGCGCCACCGCCCGCCGCCCGCCGGUGCCCGCGCCGACGCGCCACGCCGCCGCCCCGCGCGCUAAGGGAGCCCGCCGGUGCCCGCGCCGCCGGUGCCACCCCGCCCGCCGGUGCCCGCGCCCGCCCGCCGGUCCCCGCGCCGCCGGUGCCACGCCGCCGCCCCGCGCGCUAAGGGAGCCCGCGCCACCGAGCCCACGCUCACCGCGCCCCUGCACGCCGCCGAGGCCCACGCCCGCCCCUGCACGCCGUGCCCCUACCCCUACACGCUGCGCCCCUCGCCCGUGCACGCCUGCCGAGCCCCACGCCCGCCCCGCCGAGCCCCACGCCGCUGCCCGCACGCCCGUCGUCCGAGGCACCCCGCCCGUCCCUCGCCGCGCCGUCGUCCCGCCCGAGGCGCGCUGCACCGCAUCGCGACGGCCUCCCUGCGCCGUGCCGCCGCCCACACGCCCGCCCGCUCCGUCGCGAAGGUCUCCCAGCUGCGUCGUCGCCCGCCUCGACUCGCCCGCAUUUGCGCCAUCAGGCAAGUAUAAUUGCCGAGGCUCCGAGGUCAUUAAUUUAUAUUAGUCAUCUUGUCGUGUUGUGAUUAGUUUAACUGUUUAUUGCUUUAAUUCAAAUUCAUAUUUUGUCUCCGAGUUAUGUUUUAAUGUUUAGAGUUUAGUUUUAAUCGUUAACCGUAGCGAACCGUAUGCGUCACCCGUUCGGGAACGGCGAACGUCACAUUGGCUUGUGAGGUUUGCCGCUCCGGAAUUGUCCACGUAUUUUGGACAGCCUGAGAGUGUAGGCCGAUGCUUGUGAUUUGUGAUAUGUGUCUUACGAUUUACGCGGAAUUUCGGUUGUGUAACUCAGUUGUUCUCCAACACACCAUGUUCAGGCGUGUGCUUGGAGAGCAGCGGGGUUAUGCUGCCGAAAUUUAGCGACAAUCGUAGGCUACACGUCAUAAAUCACAAGCAUCAGCCUACACUCUUGGGUGGGUUUAGGGCCUUUACCUAAUAGGGAGUUCACCUAAUUAAGCCACGGACGAUCGUUGAUGUUCUUUGACUUUUGUUUAGCCUUUAAAAUGGACGGUGAUCGAAGGGUGAUGUAUGACGGGUGGAGAAAGGAUGGGGCACAUUCAAAUGAAUGGAUGGGUGUAACAAAGGCUUUUCUUGAGCACGCUUUCAAAGAUGCAACUGGUCGUCUAGUGAAGUGUCCUUGCAAUCGCUGCGAGAACAAGUGGCCUCAGAAGAAGGAAGAAAUGGAGAAACACCUUUGCAAAAGUGGGUUUAUGCCGAACUACCUUGUAUGGUACCGGCAUGGAGAGUCUAUUAGACACGUUGACGCGGAGGUGGAGCUUGAUGACGAUCAUGAUAGGAUGGACGAUAUGUUGCAUGAUCUUGGUAGGGAGGUUGAAAUGAACGCUGAGGAGCCGGGGCAGCUUCCACGCGAUGCUCAAGAAUUCUUCCGGCUACUCGCCGCGGGAGAAGAGAGACUGCACGAGCACACUCAGAUGUCAGUUCUUGGGACUCUCACAAGACUAAUGGCGAUAAAGUCGAAGCACAACAUUUCAAACAGUGCUUACAACGACAUCGUCCAACUUAUGGGCGAGGUUCUCCCGGAGAAUCAUAAGUUGCCAAAGAAUAUGUACUUCACAAAGAAGAUGUUGGCUGGUCUUGGGAUGACAUAUGAGAAGAUCGACGUGUGUCCCAAUAGUUGCAUGCUAUUCUUUGAGGAUGAUGACAAGCUUGACCGUUGUAAGCAUUGUAAAGCUUCUAGAUAUGUCGAGGUGACAAAUGAUGAGGGUGAAUUGGUAGUUACGAAGGUCGCAGCUAAGCAACUUCGUCGGUUGCCUAUCAUUCCUCGGCUUUCAAGGCUGUUCCUCAACAAGGAAAUAGCUCUGCAUAUGACGUGGCCAAAGAAUGGUGUACGUCUCGUCACUGAUCCAGACAUAAUGGUCCAUCCGUCGGACGGUGAUGCGUGGAAGGCAUUUGACGAGUUUGAUCCCGAAUUUGCAAACGACCCUAGGAGUGUACGGCUUGGUCUAUCGACGGACGGAUUCACACCUUUCAAUACCAGUGCAAGCCCUUACUCGUGUUGGCCUGUCUUCAUUGUGCCAUAUAAUCUUCCUCCUGAGUUGGUCAAUAAAGAAGAGUUCAUGUUCCUUGCACUAGUCAUCCCAGGCCCCGAGCAUCCAGGGCCAAAGCUGAAUAUGUUUGUUCGCCCUUUAAUCGAAGAGCUGAAACAGUUGUGGAGAGGUGUGAAGGCUUAUGACAGCCAUACUGAAAAGGAGUUUACCAUGCGCGCUGCUUAUUUGUGGUCAGUGCAUGAUCUGCUGGCGUAUGGAGAUUGGUCUGGAUGGUGCGUCCAUGGUCGGUUGUGCUGUCCCAUAUGUAUGAAUGAUACGGAUGCAUUCAGAUUGAAGCAUGGUGGGAAAGUGUCAUUCUUUGAUGCUCAUCGACGUUGGACUCCAUUCAAGCAUGAUUUUAGGAAUUCGCUUACUGCAUUCAGAGGUGGAGCCAAAAUCAGAAAUGGGCCACCAAAGAGGCAAACUGCACCGCAGAUAAUGGCAUGGCAUGCUUGUCUGAAGCAAGGAGAAAAUGAUAGGUUCCAAGGCUACGGGGAGGACCAUAACUGGACCCAUAUUUCAUCAAUAUGGGAGCUUCCGUAUGCAAAAGCCUUGAUCAUGCCGCACAACAUAGACUUGAUGCACCAAGAGCGUAACGUUGCUGAAAGCAUCAUAAGCACAUGUUUCGAUGUGACUGAUAAAACGAAAGAUAAUAUGAAGGCAAGAAAAGACAUGGCUGAAAUUUGUAAGAGGCCGAUGCUCGAGUUGAAAGUAAGCGAUAAAGGGCAUGAAAGUAGGCCGCGAGCUGAUUACUGCCUCAAGCCGGAUGAAAGGAAAGAAAUAUUUAAGUGGUUGAAGAAUCUGAAAUUUCCAGAUCGGUAUGCGGCAAAUCUGAAACGGGCAGUCAAUCUGAAGACCGGUAAAUUGAUCGGUUUGAAAAGCCAUGACUACCAUAUUAUUAUGGAGAGGCUGAUGCCCGUGAUGUUUCGAGGCUAUUUUAAGGAUGAGCUUUGGAGCAUAUUUGCAGAGUUGAGUUACUUCUAUAGGGAAGUAUGCGCAAAGACGGUAUCGAAGAGGUUGAUGCAGAAAUUUGAGAAAGAAAUUCCAAUUCUUAUUUGUAAAUUUGAAAAGGUUUUCCCGCCAGGAUUCUUCAAUGUGAUGCAACAUCUAAUUGUGCAUUUGCCUUGGGAAGCUUUGGUAGGCGGACCAGUGCAAUUCAGGUGGAUGUAUCCUAUAGAAAGGGCGUUGAAAAAGCUCAGGGCGUCUGUUCGGAACAAGGCUAGAGUCGAAGGGUGUAUUGCGGAGGCUUUUGCCCUUAAGGAGAUAUCUCAAUUCUCAACCAGGUAUUUCGCUCGAGCCAACAAUGUGUUUGCGCCUUCAGUGCGACUUCAUGUCGAUAAUGAAUCACCCCAAAGCACCCUUCAAAUUUUUGCGAAUCCGGGUAAAGCAGUUGGAAAAGGGAGUGUACGUCACAUUGAAGCAUCAGAUUUGAACACGCUAAUGCUAUAUAUGUAUAGCAAUAUUGACAGCACACAGGAGGCGUUCGAGUAAGUUUUCCUCAUAAUUACGUCCAUUUUCUCAUCUCAUAAUUUCUAUAGUGUGUAAUCUCCAUGUUUGUAAUAUGUCCAGCAUGUUUGAUGAAGAAUGUUGGAAAUCUACUAGUAAACCUACGACCAUCCAAUUAGAAAAUCUUCGACGUGAUGGGUUGAAAGGUGGACCAAACUUCGUGCAGUGGUUUCGUAAUUAUGUUAGUAAUUGUCAUUCUCUCAUUGUCCAUACUUAAUCUUUGAAUUUUGGACUUGGAAGAUAUAAUGCAUAUACUAAUUACUUGUAUAGGUUUCCAAAAACUCUGUGCACCCGGACUUGCAGCAAAUGGCACAUACCUCUGUGUCCGUCCGAAACUAUACUCGCUAUGAUGUAAAUGGAUAUCGCUUCCGAACCGCGAAAUUGGAGAAGAGUCGACCAUUGGCAGCCACCACCAAUAGUGGUGUGUUGGCAAGUUCAUAUGUUGACGAUGACAAAGUAGUGGACUAUUACGGUGUUCUUCAAAACAUUGUAGAGUUGAUUUUCGAUGGCCCCAAAGAACUUAAAGUCGUGUUUUUCGAGUGCGACUGGUUUGAUGCUCAUAGUGGGACUCGUGUCGACAAGUAUGGUAAUGUCGAGGUGAAGCAUAGCUCUAGGAUUCCGAGCAGUAUGAGCGAUGUUGUCCUUGCAAAUCAGGCAAAACAGGUGUACUACCUGCCAUAUCCUCACCCAAGCCUUAGGGCUUGGUGGGUUGCAAUCAAAGUCAACCCACAAGUCGUCGCUCCAGAGAGUGCUGACUACGUGAGUAUAAUCAGGGACAACGAUGAUGCUGUUUUUCAACCAGAAGCGGCGUCGAAUCAAGACAUAGCUCACCGAUUCCAUGUGACCAAUGGAGAAGGACUUGAAAAUCUCUGUUGCAAUUCAAGCGACUUAAUUGAAGAACCUAGGUCAAAGCGCAAACGACCUGUCGUCGUUAGAAGAUCAGUAAGGAUCCAACGAAAUCAAGAGCGUAUGAAUAAACAACGAGCCGAAGAAGCAUCAUCGGAUGCGGAUGACUUUUGAUUAGUAUGUUUCUUUUAGCUAUGUAUUCCAAUUUCCACAUUAUUAAUUUUCAUAUUAUUUGUUUCAUAUACUGUGGUUUGACAUUAAUUUAUCUACAGUUGAACAUGUUCAAGCAUAGGAGAUCGAGGAGGAGUGGGGGCAGCGCGGCCAGCGAGGACAGCUCGGGCAGUGGGCUUUUUCAGGGCACCUCACAGAGCCGACAAAGGCAGCAACAACUUCUCGACUGUCUAGAUGAAGUGCAGGGUGAGGAGGGUGAGCAGGAGACUCCUCAGCAGGAUGCUCAUGUGCAGGGUGAGGAGGGUGAGCAGGAUGACGAGGGUGAGCAGGAUGAGGAGGUUGACCCAAUGGGGGCAGGCAGCGCGGGCGACGCGUCAGAUGGUUCUACGUCCUUCAGGUAUUAUUAUGCAUAUUACUUUAAUUGAUAUUAGUUUCUAAUCAUUUCAUCAUAUUGAAUUUACUUGUAUACUUAGGUAUAAGAAGAGCAAUGCGCUUGGUCCGAGACCUGCCGAGAG